GAUGAACGCUGGCGGCGUGCUUAACACAUGCAAGUCGAACGAAGCACUUUGGAUAGAUUUCUUCGGAUUGAUAUCCUUAGUGACUGAGUGGCGGACGGGUGAGUAACGCGUGGGUAACCUGCCUCAUACAGGGGGAUAACAGUUAGAAAUGGCUGCUAAUACCGCAUAAGCGCACAGUACCACAUGGUACCGUGUGAAAAACUCCGGUGGUAUGAGAUGGACCCGCGUCUGAUUAGCUAGUUGGCAGGGUAACGGCCUACCAAGGCGACGAUCAGUAGCCGACCUGAGAGGGUGAUCGGCCACAUUGGGACUGAGACACGGCCCAAACUCCUACGGGAGGCAGCAGUGGGGAAUAUUGCACAAUGGGGGAAACCCUGAUGCAGCGACGCCGCGUGAAGGAAGACGUAUUUCGGUAUGUAAACUUCUAUCAGCAAGGAAGAUGAUGACGGUACUUGACUAAGAAGCCCCGGCUAACUACGUG
rnacentral:rRNA from 1 species